ensembl:misc_RNA Metazoa_SRP Metazoan signal recognition particle RNA
GCUAGGCAUGGUGGUGCGUGCCUGUAAUCCCAGCUACUCGGGAGGCUGAGGCAGGAGAAUUGCUUGAACCCAGGAGGCAGAGGUUGCAGUGAGCCGAGAUCGUGCCACUGCACUCUAGCCUUGGGCAACAAAGCAAGACUCUGUCUCAG